CUCUCUCAGAAGAUGGAAUUUUGAAGCAGAUGGCCAGGACAGGAUCUGUGUGCUGCUUGUUCCUGGAAACAAGAGGUGCCACAUGGUGCUCUGGGAUAGAAGUUUUUAACCAUGGAAGAUACAAAACCAGGAAUGUCUUAGACAAGACUGGGGGGAAGGAUCUUAGUGUGCCAUCAUCUGUAAGUGGGCACCAGUGAGAAACCACCAGUAGCUCAGGAGAAGGCCAAGAAGCCAAGUUUUAGCUGACUCCCUCGUCACCUUGGAGCCUCCUGCACCAACAUCCCACACAAACCCGCCAGCCCUCUCCCAAACAUCAGGGAUCUGUAUUCCAGGCAGAGCUCAAAUGCACCAUUUGGCAUUACCAAGAGCUCCAAACCCUCCCAGGUGUUUUACAACAAACGAGGCUGCGAUUUCCUUGCAGCUACUGAGUGACUUCUUGAAAUUCAGCAGCAUGAUGUGCUUGCAUCCACCCAACAGCCUCCAAACACUCUUUAUGGCUGUCAGUGCUCCAGCCACCAAGAGAAAACAUCACCUCAAUACUCAGAUCCUUCUAAUUCCAAAGCACCAGAAGUCAGGAGGACUGGAAUCACGACCCUCAACAGGUAACCAAGGGAGGUUUGCUGGGAGCAGACCCGGAUGGAAGCAGCAUCAGCCUCGAGUGCUUCCGCCCACAGACUCCCACCUAACGCUCGUCAGGCAGCUCCAAGCACUCCGAGUUUCCAAGAUGUCAUCUGGAUCAUCAAACACAGUUCUAAGCACGACCCUGUACAACAGCAGCAAUUCCUGUUGCUCACUAGCAAGUCAUCCCUGUUUUGGACAACAUUUUUGGAAUGUGCUGCCCACAGUACAUUGAAUUUCCUAAGUUAUGCCUGGAAAUCAGGAUGUUUUGUCCCAGUAAGUGGACACUGUUUAAUAAGACCCCUUCUGCAACAAUGGGUUUGCACUCGCUGUGACAGAGCUCCAUUUAACCAGGGCUGUGGAAUUCUGGGGGAUAUCUGCACUGCCUCAACUCUGCUGGCCUCUGGAAAAAGCCAUUCCUCAACAAACAUAGCUUUGUAACUUUGGAGAGGCCUGGGUUUGGGCUUAUUUUAAUGGCACAGCUUUUACCCAGUAAGGACCUGACCUUCACCAUGUAAAUGAGAAACCUGUAUUUGCUGCAAAUGCUCUGAUGUUCCACAUCCCCUGUUCUGCUCCGAGAAACCUUCU